rnacentral:lncRNA from 1 species
GGGGGAAAAGGCUGCAGGAGGACUUCAUUGCAGGACACCUGCCACCCAGAUGGAGCCCGCAUGGCUUGGGGGGACAGCAUGGGAGAAAAGCAGGGGCUGAAAGCUGGUGUGCAGUCAGGGCAGACGUGAGACAAAGAAGAGCUGUCCGGCCCGUGGUCAGGCUCAGGACCUUGAAACUGUCGUGUAAGGACACCAGCAGAGGCUACGGGGCGGGGAUGUUCCUUAGCUCACAGAGAGCUGUGCUGGAGGAAAUCCAAGGACUCAGAGGACUCAAGGACUCAAGUACUCAGGAUUGCCUGUCCAUGAAAAGACCCAAGAAAGAAUCCUCCAGUCUCAGAGAAUAGAAAGGAAGGCACAUCCUUACCAAAGCGCUGGAACUAGAGGUUGGCUUUGAACUUCUCCAGCCAGCUGCACUGAAGCAGGAUCAGAGAUGUUUCCAUAAGUGACCUCAAAUCUGAUUUGGAAUAAAUCAACUGGUAAAUAAACCUUCAAAUAAAAGAGCGCUCUACUGCAUGGAAAGAGAUGCAAACCCCACCCCCAUCAUUUGCUGGCACUAUCUUGAAUCCCACUGGGAUGACUGGGAUGGGUAUAGAUUUUCCCAAGAGGAGCAAAACACCCUAGCAACUGCUAUCAGUAGCUUCUGAGAGGCCAAGGCCUCCAGGCAUUGAGAAGUUUGGUCUGACUGUGAAGUGGAAGACAGGGCUGGAGGAAUGACUAGUAGCUGAUGCUGAGUCCCUGAGGAUGACCCUGGGACCUUCGGGUGAGCUGAAACUUGGGUUGGUAAUUUCAGAUUCUGUUCAGAUUUAGCUCAGGUACCUGAUGAGAGCUGCCAAGACCCCAAGGUCCCCAUGGGCAGGACAAAAAGAAAUUGGCACUGAAUGAUAGAAAAGGGCAGGCAUGAUGAUGUGGUGUGCAGGAAAUACACCCUUGAAAUGAGGCCCUGGGGACCCAGGAACCAGAUUGGAUCAGUGACAAAAGCCAAGGACCCUCUCAGAAACUAGAAAAGCCCUCUAGAACUGAGAAGAAAGUUGUGGAACUAGGGAAGAACCUGAGCCCAGAGACGCCUUUUGUUCCCAACGGGCAGGAAAUAGGAAUAAAAUAUACUUUACAAAAAUAAAAUUACAUUUCUUGUUCCUAAGUUUGUAGAACAGAUGUGGAAUCCAUGCUCCC